CCCCAUGUCACCGUGUACUAAUUUUAAAUCCCCAUCCAGUCAGUUAAACGUGCUACUCCUUCAAUUUAUCUCCUUCAGCCAUCAUGAACUCAGAACGAGUCAGGCAUGCUACUAAUUAAACAUUUAGACAAAUCAAGAAAAUGAACCAAUGGAGAAGAAGAAACAUGGGUAACAUGAGAGUGAAAUUCACAGUCCUGUGGCUUUAAGACUAACAACAUCCUCCUCCAUUUUUAGGGUCUGGAUUAUUACCUUCUAGGUUUGGAUCAUCUCCUUGCAAAACCACAGUCUUCCCAUUUCCCAUCGAGCGAGCAUCUUGUUUAAAUUCAUUAGACAUAACCUUCCGGCUUAAUAUAUUGUAAAUCUCUCUAACAACUGUCUGAAAUGCAGCAGUUACAUUGGAGGAAUCAAGAGCUGAAGUUUCCAUGAAAAACAAACCCUGUGCCUCUGCCAAGUCCUUGCCUUCAUCUGUGGAUACCUCUCUGGCAUCCUUCAGAUCAGUUUUGUUGCCAAUAAGUAUAGUUACUACAUUCAUGUCAGAGUGAGUGUGAAGCUCAUUAAGCCACUUGCCAACACUAUCAAAUGUCUGGCGCCUACUUAUGUCAUAGACCAGGAGAGCUCCCACUGCACCUCUGUAAUAUGCAGAUGUAACUGCCCUGAAGCGUUCCUGUCCUGCUGUAUCCCAGAUCUGUGCUUUAACUUCCUUCCCAUUAAUAUUCAUCUUUUGGGUUUGGAACUCUACUCCAAUAGUCGACUUUGAGUUAGGAUAGAAUUCAUCCCUAGCAAAUCUUGCAAGCAAAUUGGAUUUUCCCACAGCUGAAUCCCCAAUUAAGACAAUUUUGAAAAGGUAAUCCUCUGUUUUUUCCUCCUCAGAAUAAACAUCCAUCUUCCACCCUUCACCAGAUUGUCAAUUUAUAAAAGCAUGUUAAGCACAACUAACCCAAUGGAUUAUAGAUCUCUCUAGGGGGCUUAAAUACAAGUAUUAGUCUCCCUAGCAAAGAUGAGGAAAUGGAGAAUCCAAGACCAAGGGCAGAAUAGAAAGGAAACUUGAAAGGCAGGGAAGGUAUUUAGAGGACAGAGGCUGUGAUAGUCAAAUAUUUAGAAGAAUACAGCAGAAUCCAGGAGAUACCUAUCUUCCAGAAGUUAAAGAAAAGAAUAGAAACUUCUACUACUCCGCCCUCUGCUUCUUGCCAGUCAAGUAAUUCGCAGGUGCCUUUUUAUUACAAUCUAAAAAAGGCCUCCACUGCCAGGUUCAAGAUCGCUACUGAAAAAUUUCUAAGUUUAAUUGCCAGGAAAAAAAUGAACAAAACGUUGUGAAGUUGCUGCCUCACUUCUGCCGUCACCAGAGAUCCGACGAAUCGUCGCCGAUUACGCACCGGAAAGUCGAUGGAGGAUAGCUGGUGCUAGUUCUCUUGCUGGUUAGUUUAACGGUGGCUAUCACGUGCUUGACGGAUUUCUGGUUUGGGCGGAUCGCGGAAGGGGAGACGCGGAAUGAGGUGCUCCGAUCGUCUCUUUCGUGUGGUCUCAGGUAAAAUCGUCGGUGAAGGAUGUCGUGGUGGUAUGGAAGAGAUAUCUGCGGCCUAGUCGGUUGCCUGAUAUGGGCCAGAAAAAGAGGAAGAAGCUUCGGGUUCUCUAUCUCUAUCUCUCUCUUCGUUUCCUCUACUAACUCGCGAAGUUUCCUCACCGGAUAUCUUUCUAGCGUCGGGGAAAAUUAACGGCUAUAUCGCCGGUGAUGAGGGGAACUGGGUCAGUCCGAUUUUUAGCUGGCCGGAGCUUUCGCACCCUCUCUCUCUCUCUCUCUCUCUAAAA
rnacentral:misc_RNA from 1 species